UACAGAGGGUGCGAGCGUUGUUCGGAAUUACUGGGCGUAAAGGGCGCGUAGGCGGUUUCUUAAGUUUGGAGUGACAGUGGGUGGCUUAACUACCCAAGGCCUCUGAAAACUGGGGAACUUGAGGACCAGAGAGGGACAUAGAAUUCCGGGUGGAGUGGUGAAAUGCGUAGAUAUCCGGAGGAAUACCAAAGGCGAAGGCAGUGUCCUGGAGGGUGACUGACGCUGAGGCGCGAAAGCUAGGGGAGCGAACAGG
rnacentral:rRNA from 1 species